AAAGACAGAAGAAGAUUAGAGACGCAGGCACAUAGAGGAAGGCCACAUAAAGAUGGGAACAGGGAUGGAAGAGAUGCCACCAGAAGUCAAGCGGUGCCUUGAGCUACCAGAAGCUGGAAGAGCUUUCAGGACCAGCAUUUCUAAAUCAAACCCUCUCUGACCACCCAGAUUCUCUGGAGUAAAGAUUCAGCAUCUCAGGAGGCAGCAAUAAACAGUGGUAAAGAGUGCAGGUUCUGAAGUCACAUUGUGCAAUAUUGGGCUCCUCAGCGAUACACUUCCUCCAGCGAUAGACCCUUCUGACAAGAAACGUGCUGCUCCUGCAUUUCUACCCACUCUUCCUCUGCAAGAAGUGCCCAGAGAGCUCCAAGUGUUGAAAGGCAAGUGUCCUGUGGAGGUUUCCUCUGGACUCCUGGCUGCUUUUCAAAACAUAUAUGAAAAGACUGUAAUAUAUUUAACUUUGAAUAGUUAGCUAAACAUCCCAGAAUUUUGAUUAUCAGAGGGGAUGACUCACUGGCUGCUCUGAAGUGCUUGGUCCACAACGAGCCAUUUUCUAUAUUCGACACCCUGACCAUAUUUCAGCUUCUAUACCAUGGAAACACAGUUUUCACACCAAGAACGAUGUCCUCUCUGCUGUCCUAGACUUUAAGAGCAUGGGGUGUCAUUGUCACCUUCCUUUUUCCACAGCAGCUCCUUUUAACCCCCAACAGGCCUCUGUCCUCCCUGGUACUCAGGUGUAAGAUGUCAAUAUUUUUUCUCCUUUUCCCCUUUUGUCCAGUGAUCACCUCCUUUUCCAAUAUAUUAUUUUCCCCUGUCUUUCUCCAGUUUCACUGCUGUUGCUCCAGGUCCUCACACUCUCUGAAUCUUUGUGAAGCCCUCUAACUGGCUUAUUGACACCUCCAGUUUCUUCUCCUU